rnacentral:rRNA from 1 species
UACGGAGGGUGCAAGCGUUACUCGGAAUUACUGGGCGUAAAGCGCACGCAGGUGGCUGAGUAAGUCGAUUGUGAAAGCCCUGGGCUUAACCUGGGAAUUGCAGUCGAUACUGCUCGGCUAGAGUAUGGGAGAGGGUAGUGGAAUUCCCGGUGUAGCGGUGAAAUGCGUAGAUAUCGGGAGGAACAUCAGUGGCGAAGGCGGCUACCUGGCCCAAUACUGACACUCAGGUGCGACAGCGUGGGGAGCAAACAGG